rnacentral:lncRNA from 1 species
AAUUUUGAAAAAAAUCAAAAUGUCCAUUUAUACAGUCCUUUUACAAAUCAAAAUACAAACCAGAUCAGCCCAUUAACCCAAUACCCAAGCCCAAGUCAAAAUCCUAGCCCAACUAUCUUAAAACUUUUCAACAAUUCAAACCCUAGCUCCACAAGCCUUGCGCCGCUGCCUCCAUGUGCUGGCCUCAGGGUGCACAACACCCGAAACUGGCCUCCCCACGCAUGCCCCUCUCCUCCACGCGUCU